AUGAGUCGUCCUGGUGGCAUCAACAUCCCCGAUGGCAAGUUCUACCUGCGAGAUGUUGACUAUGCAUGUCGGCCAGGUAUUCUUCCACCCUUCAGGAAAACCAGGCACCAUCUCAACGAGUUUGCUGGUAGAAACUAUCCUAGGACUCCACAGGAAAUGUUCAAUCUCAAACACUCUAGCCUUAGAGUUACUGUUAAGAGGGCCUUUGGAGCUCUAAAGAACAGGUUUAAGAUCUUAGAUCAAAAGCCAUCCCACUUUCCCACUCAGGUUAAGCUUAUUCUUGCUUGUUGCAUUUUGUAUAACUGGAUCCUGCAAUGGGGUUGUGAUGAGCUAGUGCCUAAGGAGGAAGAUGUGACGCCUGACGAUGUUAUCAGCUCCAGCCAUGGUGUGUAGGCAUUUGACAAUGAAGCCUGGAAGAAUAAAAGAAUGGAGUGGGCACAGGCAAUGUGGGACAGUGAAAGCACAAGUGCUCCCUGGGUGGUUUUGGUAAUUAAUGUCAACAUAUCUCUUGUUGGACUAACACUUUUACCUAGUAUGUUUCAGAUAAGUUCAACAAUGGAGUGGCAUGGACUAGAGGAUGUGGAUCCCCUUCAAGAUGCUAAGGACAAAGGAUUGGCUCAAGCUUCAAGAUCAAGACUCUACAUUUUCUAUUUUAGUGAUCCAAGAUCACAUUGA
rnacentral:rRNA from 1 species